rnacentral:rRNA from 1 species
UACGUAGGGGGCAAGCGUUGUCCGGAAUCAUUGGGCGUAAAGCGCGUGUAGGCGGCCCGGUAAGUCCGCUGUGAAAGUCGGGGGCUCAACCCUGGGAUGCCGGUGGAUACUGUCGAGCUCGAGUCCGGAAGAGGCGAGUGGAAUUCCUGGUGUAGCGGUGAAAUGCGCAGAUAUCAGGAGGAACACCAAUGGCGAAGGCAGCUCGCUGGGACGUGACUGACGCUGAGACGCGAAAGCGUGGGGAGCAAACAGG